GCCGCGGACUCGGCCGACAACUGGCGGUCCGUGUGCCGGUGCAUGGCGGAGCUCGUGAGGGAGUACUGGUCCAACGCCUCCGCCAUCGCGCUGCUGCCGGGCCUCUGCGCCGUCUCGCCCGCCGCCCACCACGCCUUCACCUACUGCACAAGCGUCCCUUGACAUCCGCGCGGUUUCGGCCGGUUACCCAAGAUUCCAAGAAUCUUCGGAGCAUGGAAGUUGCUUCAGUUUGGAGUUCUCAGUUUUGUUCUUGGAGGAUUAGCUCAGGUUGCUAGCUUAGGUGCUGGUUUUUGUCCAUUUUUUAUUCCUGAUCGAUCUGAUUAGUUGCAUGCGGGGGAAUUGAUGAGAAACCUAA